GUGCGGUGAUGACAUGGAACUAUGUGUUACAGCCACUGGACCCUGCAGUUGGCCUGUGGAACUUGCUGGUCUUCCUCGAGUGCUUCUUCCAGGGGUUUUCUGUUUCAUUGUUUGUUUUCUUUCAGUGCUAUUUAUCCACUUCUAGUUUCACUCCUGUUCUUCAUUCUUAAACAAACUUGGCCAUCAGCCGUUGUAAUUCAGUGCUCACUCCUUUAAAUUGAAAGCCAUCUGUACUAAUUCUGUUGUUUAUGACAAGAUUAUCAUCGGCAGGGAAGGAAAUCUUUGAUUUGCUGGUUUGUGCCAGUGUGUGUCUGUUUUUUCCAGUUAUAGUCAUUGUUUUAGAAUUCUAAGUGGAUAUAGGCCCUUUGUUAUUUAGAAUAUGCUAUGAAUUAUUAUUACAAUAAUACUAAGAAGGAGUCUAGCUUCCUCUUCCUCUCGACAGUGAGAGGCCGGGCGCCUCGUAAGCAUUCAUGUAAGGGGGAAUACUUGUUUCUUUGGAUCCCUAAUAAGGGAGCUCUUUCCAGCUGAGAAAAUAUUGAAUCUUAAUGAUGGCAAUGAUUCUCUUGCAAGAUGAAGUCCUAACAGGGGCAGUAAAACAUGGUGAGACUCAACUGGUGGUGUGAAGCUUGAGUUACUGGUCACAGUUUGUCUAUGAGGACCCACCUUGCAAUUUGGGAUUCUCAAAGGUGGUUUUCUCUAAAUCACACUCACUCACCUUCCUUCCUUCCUUCCUUCCUUCCUUCCUUCCUUCCUUCCUUCCUUCCUUCCUUCCUUCCUUCUUCCCUUCCUUCCCCUAGUCUGUCAUCCUCCUCCUCGUUCUCCUUCUUUGAACAUAUACUUCUUUGUUUAUUAUGUGUGUGUGUCCAUGUACCAUGUGUGCACAUGACAGUCAGAGGACAGACAGCUUGUAACUGUCAGUUCUCUCUUUAUACCAUGGAGGUCCCAGGGUUCCUUGGGUUGUCAGGUCUGGUGGCAGCACUUUUUUUUUGCUCAUGGAUUCAUCUCACCAGCCCAUACAGAAGGUCUUUUAAAACACCAUCUGCUAACCACCUACACACAUCUAGUUUUGGAAGUGGUCCCUGGUAAUUUGCAUUUCUGAAAUCUCCCUAGGUGAUGAAGGGGCUGAAAAGUCAUAGCAUUGCUUUCCCCUCAUACACAGAAGUACAGAGUAGAUCAGCAGAUCUGUAAUAAAAUUCUACAAUGAGCCCUGAGUCAAGCCUUCACCUUGGAGGAGGGGAGGAUAAAAAUGAGGGUGGAACAGGUAUGUAUGGCUCAUGUAUUGUCUGCUAGGGAGCAGAAUCUACUUUUUUACAUUCUAUACAUUCUGACAUUCUGACCGACUCCCCUGUGUAGAAUGCUGUUUUCUAUUUGUAGGACUGGAAGUGUUAAAAGUUGAUUUGUGAGCCCCAAAUUCAGUAAACCAUUUCUCCUCCCUUAAAGCUCAAUGUAGACUUGAGCAUGUGGGCCUGUCAUUUAAGGAACUGUUCUUGAGAUAGACCUUGAAACACACGGCCCUAAGCCCUAAAUGUGAUGUCUCAUUCCUCCCCUCGGGGCUCAGAGAACCUUGUAGAAGAGGCAGCUAAUCCUAACCUUAACCUUGAGUAUAAGAGCCAGACAGGAUGGAGGACACCAGGGCAUCAAGGCCCUCUAAUUCAACCAGAUCAACACACAUGAACUCAGUCUGAGGCAGUAUGCACAGGGCCUGCGUGGUCUGCACCAGAUGUGGUCUUAGGGCUGAAAGGAGAAGUAGAUUCAAGCUCCUAUUCUUUUUUUAUUAGAUAUUUUCUUUAUUUACAUUUCAAAUGCUAUCCCCUUUCCUAGUUUCCCCUCCGAAAACCUCCCUAUCUCACCCCCCCUCCGCCACUCCUGCUCCCCAACCCACCCACUCCUGCUUCCUGGCCCUGGCAUUCCCCUACACUGGGGCAUAGAACCUUCACAGGACCAAGGGUCUCUCCUCCCAUUGAUGACCGACUAGGCCAUCCUUUGCUACAUAUGCAGCUAGAGCCAUGAGUCCUUCUGUGUGUUUUCUUUGGUUGGUGGUUUAGUCCCAGGGAGCUCUGGGGGUACUGGUGAGUUCAUAUUGUUGUUCCUACUCUGGGGCUGCAAACCCCUUCAGCUCCUUGGGUCCGUUCUCUAGCUCCUUCAUUGGGGAUCCUGUCCAAUGGAUGGCCAUGUCAGGCUCCUAUUCUUAACCCAGUAGCUAUUUCCAAGAGUUAACAAAAUAGAUUCCCAAAGAAAACUUAGUGUUCUCCAAGGGAAUCUCACUGGGGAAACAAAUUAUUCUUAAUUACAGGCCAGAUGCCCUGCAACAGAUAGCCAACGGAAAGCAAAAUGAACUCAGUGGCGUCUGUGGAGGUCCCCUGUCCCAUAAUGCACUGUUAGGGCAUAUAUAUAUAUAUAUAUAUAUAUAGUGUGUGUGUGUGUGUGUUCUAGUUUUACCCUACAGGUCCUUUGCAGAUCUAUUAUAGCUUCCAGGUUAGUGGGUUUUUAAUGGUAUUCUUUAAUGUAUGAAUGAGUGGAUCUCUUUGUUUUUUGUGCCCAUUGGGGGGCUUUUUUUUCCCUUCUGUUUGUUUAUCUUGUCCUAUUCUGAUGGCUUAGUUUCUGUCCUCUCUUAUUUUACUUUAUUGUUAUCCCUUAGAACGGUCGGUGGCUCUCAACCUUUCUAACGUUGCCACCUUUUACUUCAGUUCCUCAUGUUGCAGUGACCCCCCAACCAUAGCACCAUUUUUGUUGCUACUUCCUAACUGUAAUUUUGCUACUGCUAUGAAUCACAGUGUAAACAUCUGAUUUUCAGGAUGGUCUCAGGCAACCCCUGUGAAAGGGGCAAUCAACCUCUCCUGGGGUCUCGACCCACAGACUGAGAACCACUGCCUUCGAAGCUUGAUUUCUAGUUUUCUAAUGAGAGCAUGGAAGGGGAUCUAAGUAGGAGGGAGGGAGGGAGGGAGGAACUAGAAGCCAGAGGGAGCGGAAACCAUAAUCAAGAUAUAUCAUGUAGAAGAAAAAAAAAUGUAUUUUUAAUUAAAGGAAAAGAAAGGGAAUUUAGGCAAUAAAACCAUUAGAAAG
rnacentral:lncRNA from 1 species